rnacentral:rRNA from 1 species
GAUGAACGCUGGCGGCGUGCUUAACACAUGCAAGUCGAACGGGAAACCUUUUAUUGAAGCUUCGGCAGAUUUAGCUGGUUUCUAGUGGCGGACGGGUGAGUAACGCGUGGGUAACCUGCCUUAUACAGGGGGAUAACAACCAGAAAUGGUUGCUAAUACCGCAUAAGCGCACAGGACCGCAUGGUCCGGUGUGAAAAACUCCGGUGGUAUAAGAUGGACCCGCGUUGGAUUAGCUAGUUGGCAGGGUAACGGCCUACCAAGGCGACGAUCCAUAGCCGGCCUGAGAGGGGGAACGGCCACAUUGGGACUGAGACACGGCCCAGACUCCUACGGGAGGCAGCAGUGGGGAAUAUUGCACAAUGGGGGAAACCCUGAUGCAGCGACGCCGCGUGAAGGAAGAAGUAUCUCGGUAUGUAAACUUCUAUCAGCAGGGAAGAUAGUGACGGUACCUGACUAAGAAGCCCCGGCUAACUACGUG